rnacentral:rRNA from 1 species
CGAACGCUGGCGGCGUGCUUAACACAUGCAAGUCGAACGGCAAGGCCCUGCUUGCAGGGUACUCGAGUGGCGAACGGGUGAGUAACACGUGGGUGAUCUGCCCUGCACUUCGGGAUAAGCCUGGGAAACUGGGUCUAAUACCGGAUAGGAGCCAUUUUUAGUGUGAUGGUUGGAAAGUUUUUUCGGUGUAGGAUGAGCUCGCGGCCUAUCAGCUUGUUGGUGGGGUAAUGGCCUACCAAGGCGGCGACGGGUAGCCGGCCUGAGAGGGUGGACGGCCACAUUGGGACUGAGAUACGGCCCAGACUCCUACGGGAGGCAGCAGUGGGGAAUAUUGCACAAUGGGCGCAAGCCUGAUGCAGCGACGCCGCGUGGGGGAUGACGGCCUUCGGGUUGUAAACUCCUUUCGCUAGGGACGAAGCUUUUUGUGACGGUACCUAGAGAAGAAGCACCGGCUAACUACGUG